AGCUAUAAUUAAUUAACGAGAGAAAAAUGCGUGAUCUAGUGUUGUUUGGUUGUAAAGUUAUAUUGCAAGAGUUAGAGAUAAAGGAAAUGCAGAGAAGUGAUGAUGCUACUUAUAGCAAGAUGGAAAAGGAGAAGAAGAAUAAGAGGAAGAAGCAAAUUAGUGAUCAACAUGAUGUGGGAUCAAAGUCUGGUGAAGUAAUUAAUCUCAAGCCAAAGAAGAAAAGGUAUAGAUAAAGAGAAGAGAUGAAUGUAAGAAUAAGCAUUGAAACGAAAAGAAAGAAAAAGAGAUAUGAUUCUCACUCAAUAAUCUUGACGAGAAGGAAGUUGAUGGACAUGACUGGUGCGUAAUUAACAUAAUAGUAAGUAUUGUUCUUAGAGUUUUUUGUAUUGGAAUUGGAAUUGGGCAUAAAUGAGGAAAAUUGGGAGUAUUUAUAUUACAAAGCAAGUGUAACUGUACCCUAGAAUUGGACUUUGUGAAGCAGGGAUAGUAGUUGAUAGAAGAUUGUGGUUCUGGGAUUCCAUGGCCUUAAUGUUGAAUA
rnacentral:lncRNA from 1 species